rnacentral:rRNA from 1 species
AGAGUUUGAUCAUGGCUCAGGACGAACGCUGGCGGCGUGCCUAAUACAUGCAAGUCGAACGAACAGAUUUGACACCGAUGCUUGCAUCACCGUUAAAACUGUGAGUGGCGAACGGGUGAGUAACACGUGGGUAACCUGCCUAAAAGAGGGGGAUAACACUUGGAAACAGGUGCUAAUACCGCAUAACCAUGAUGACCGCAUGGUCAUUAUGUAAAAGAUGGUUUCGGCUAUCGCUUUUAGAUGGACCCGCGGCGUAUUAACUAGUUGGUAGGGUAACGGCCUACCAAGGUGAUGAUACGUAGCCGAACUGAGAGGUUGAUCGGCCACAUUGGGACUGAGACACGGCCCAAACUCCUACGGGAGGCAGCAGUAGGGAAUCUUCCACAAUGGACGAAAGUCUGAUGGAGCAACGCCGCGUGUGUGAAGAAGGUCUUCGGAUCGUAAAACACUGUUGUUAGAGAAGAAUACAAGUGAGAGUAACUGUUCACUUGCUGACGGUAUCUAACCAGAAAGCCACGGCUAACUACGUGCCAGCAGCCGCGGUAAUACGUAGGUGGCAAGCGUUGUCCGGAUUUAUUGGGCGUAAAGGGAACGCAGGCGGUUUUUUAAGUCUGAUGUGAAAGCCUUCGGCUUAACCGGAGUAGUGCAUUGGAAACUGGAAGACUUGAGUGCAGAAGAGGAGAGUGGAACUCCAUGUGUAGCGGUGAAAUGCGUAGAUAUAUGGAAGAACACCAGUGGCGAAAGCGGCUCUCUGGUCUGUAACUGACGCUGAGGUUCGAAAGCGUGGGUAGCAAACAGGAUUAGAUACCCUGGUAGUCC